rnacentral:rRNA from 1 species
GAUGAACGCUGGCGGCGUGCCUAAUACAUGCAAGUCGAGCGAACGGACGAGAAGCUUGCUUCUCUGAUGUUAGCGGCGGACGGGUGAGUAACACGUGGAUAACCUACCUAUAAGACUGGGAUAACUUCGGGAAACCGGAGCUAAUACCGGAUAAUAUUUUGAACCGCAUGGUUCAAAAGUGAAAGACGGUCUUGCUGUCACUUAUAGAUGGAUCCGCGCUGCAUUAGCUAGUUGGUAAGGUAACGGCUUACCAAGGCAACGAUGCAUAGCCGACCUGAGAGGGUGAUCGGCCACACUGGAACUGAGACACGGUCCAGACUCCUACGGGAGGCAGCAGUAGGGAAUCUUCCGCAAUGGGCGAAAGCCUGACGGAGCAACGCCGCGUGAGUGAUGAAGGUCUUCGGAUCGUAAACCUCUGUUAUUAGGGAAGAACAGAUGUGUAAGUAACUGUGCACAUCUUGACGGUACCUAAUCAGAAAGCCACGGCUAACUACGUG